UAGGGAAUCUUCCACAAUGGACGAAAGUCUGGAUGGAGCAACGCCGCGUGAGUGAAGAAGGGUUUCGGCUCGUAAAGCUCUGUUGGUAGUGAAGAAAGAUAGAGGUAGUAACUGGCCUUUAUUUGACGGUAAUUACUUAGAAAGUCACGGCUAACUACGUGCC
rnacentral:rRNA from 1 species